rnacentral:rRNA from 1 species
GACAGAGGGUGCAAACGUUGUUCGGAAUUACUGGGCGUAAAGCGCGUGUAGGCGGCCCUGCAAGUCGGGUGUGAAAUCCCACGACUCAACCGUGGAAGUGCACUCGAAACUGCAGGGCUAGAGUCCUGGAGAGGAAGGUGGAAUGCUUGGUGUAGAGGUGAAAUUCGUAGAUAUCAAGCGGAACACCGGUGGCGAAGGCGGCCUCUGGACAGUGACUGACGCUGAGA